rnacentral:rRNA from 1 species
AUGCGGCAGCUGUCGUCGCUGCUGCAGGGGCUGGCCCGAUCCAUGGCUGGAAAAGAGAGGAAGGAGGAUGAUCCGCAGGGGACGGUGCUGCGGUCGUCGGGGACGCUGCGGGGCGAGGGCUCCGAGACCUUGGCCGCCGUGUGGUCUCGCCGCGGCGAGAAGGGCACCAACCAGGACUGCUCCCUCGUCUGGGAGGGAUUCGGAUGCCAGGAUGACACCAUCUUCUGCGGCAUCUUCGACGGCCACGGCCAGUGGGGCCACUACGUCUCCAAGGCCGUCCGGGACUCGCUGCCGCCGUCGCUGCUGCGCCACUGGCAGGAGGCCGUCGCGCUGGCGUCGCUCAUCGACGGCGAGAAGAAGCUCGGCGACUGCCAGUUCGACCUCUGGAGGCAGUCCUACCUGGCCGCCGCCGCCGCCGUCGAUGAAGAGCUCCGCCGCAGCCGCCGUCUCGACGCGGUCAACAGUGGCUCCACGGCGUUGUCGAUCGUCAAGAAGGGUGACACGAUGGUUAUCGCGAACGUGGGGGACUCACGAGCCGUCCUUGGCACCACGUCGGACGACGGCAGCAUCGCCGCCGUUCAGCUCACCGUCGACUUCAAACCAAACCUGCCUCAGGAGAAGGCGCGCAUCGUGCAGUGCAAGGGCCGCGUGCACUGCCACGACGACGAGCCCGGCGUGCAUCGGGUGUGGCUGCCCGACAGGGAGGCGCCGGGGCUGGCCAUGUCACGCGCGUUCGGCGACUACUGCGUCAAGGACUACGGCGUGAUCUCGGCGCCGGAGGUGACGCAGAGGAGGAUCACCUCCCGGGACCAGUUCGUCAUCUUGGCCACCGACGGGGUUUGGGACGUGGUCUCCAACGAAGAGGCGGUGCAGAUCGUGGCUGACACGCCGGAGAGGGAGAAGGCGGCGAAGCGGCUCGUCCAGUGCGCCGUCCGCGCCUGGAGGCGCAAGCGGCGGGGCUACGCCGUCGAUGAUUGCUCGGCGAUCUGCCUCUUCCUCCACCCGCCGCCAUCGUAG